GGUUAAGCGACUAAGCGUACACGGUGGAUGCCCUGGCAGUCAGAGGCGAUGAAGGGCGUGCUAAUCUGCGAUAAGCGCCGGUAAGGUGAUAUGAACCGUUAUAACCGGCGAUACCCGAAUGGGGAAACCCAGUGUGAUUCGUCACACUAUCAUUAACUGAAUCCAUAGGUUAAUGAGGCGAACCGGGGGAACUGAAACAUCUAAGUACCCCGAGGAAAAGAAAUCAACCGAGAUUCCCCCAGUAGCGGCGAGCGAACGGGGAGGAGCCCAGAGCCUGAAUCAGCAUGUGUGUUAGUGGAAGCGUCUGGAAAGGCGCGCGAUACAGGGUGACAGCCCCGUACACAAAAGCGCAUGUGCUGUGAGCUCGAUGAGUAGGGCGGGACACGUGGUAUCCUGUCUGAAUAUGGGGGGACCAUCCUCCAAGGCUAAAUACUCCUGACUGACCGAUAGUGAACCAGUACCGUGAGGGAAAGGCGAAAAGAACCCCGGCGAGGGGAGUGAAAAAGAACCUGAAACCGUGUACGUACAAGCAGUGGGAGCACAGGUUUACCUGUGUGACUGCGUACCUUUUGUAUAAUGGGUCAGCGACUUAUAUUCUGUAGCA
rnacentral:rRNA from 1 species